rnacentral:siRNA from 1 species
GAUCCUGGUGCCGUUAUAUCCGGC